rnacentral:rRNA from 1 species
AGAACGAACGCUGGCGGCAGGCUUAACACAUGCAAGUCGAACGCUCGGAGCAAUCCGGGAGUGGCAGACGGGUGAGUAACGCGUGGGAAUAUACCCUUCGGUUCGGAAUAACUUGGGGAAACUCAAGCUAAUACCGAAUACGGCCUAUGGGCGAAAGAUUGAUCGCCGAAGGAAUAGCCCGCGUCCGAUUAGCUAGUUGGUGAGGUAAUGGCUCACCAAGGCGACGAUCGGUAGCUGGUCUGAGAGGAUGACCAGCCACAUUGGGACUGAGACACGGCCCAAACUCCUACGGGAGGCAGCAGUGGGGAAUUUGCGCAAUGGGGGAAACCCUGACGCAGCAACGCCGCGUGGAGGAUGAAGCCCCUUGGGGCGUAAACUCCUUUCGACCAAGACGAUAAUGACGGUACUGGUGGAAGAAGCACCGGCUAACUCUGUGCCAGCAGCCGC